rnacentral:rRNA from 1 species
GGUAGUCCACGCCGUAAACGAUGUCGACUUGGAGGUUGUGCCCUUGAGGCGUGGCUUCCGGAGUUAACGCGUUAAGUCGACCGCCUGGGGAGUACGGCCGCAAGGUUAAAACUCAAAUGAAUUGACGGGGGCCCGCACAAGCGGUGGAGCAUGUGGUUUAAUUCGAUGCAACGCGAAGAACCUUACCUACUCUUGACAUCCAGAGAACUUAGCAGAGAUGCUUUGGUGCCUUCGGGAACUCUGAGACAGGUGCUGCAUGGCUGUCGUCAGCUCGUGUUGUGAAAUGUUGGGUUAAGUCCCGCAACGAGCGCAACCCUUAUCCUUUGUUGCCAGCGGUUAGGCCGGGAACUCAAAGGAGACUGCCAGUGAUAAACUGGAGGAAGGUGGGGAUGACGUCAAGUCAUCAUGGCCCUUACGAGUAGGGCUACACACGUGCUACAAUGGCGCAUACAAAGAGAAGCGACCUCGCGAGAGCAAGCGGACCUCAUAAAGUGCGUCGUAGUCCGGAUUGGAGUCUGCAACUCGACUCCAUGAAGUCGGAAUCGCUAGUAAUCGUAGAUCAGAAUGCUACGGUGAAUACGUUCCCGGGCCUUGUACACACCGCCCGUCACACCAUGGGAGUGGGUUGCAAAAGAAGUAGGUAGCUUAACCUUCGGGAGGGCGCUUACCACUUUGUGAUUCAUGACUGGGGUGAAGUCGUAACAAGGUAACCGUAGGGGAACCUGC